AUACGGAGGGGGCUAGCGUUGUCCGGAAUUACUGGGCGUAAAGCGCUCGUAGGCGGUUUGUUAAGUCGGAUGUGAAAGCCCCGGGCUCAACCUGGGAACUGCAUUCGAUACUGACAAACUAGAGUAUAGUAGAGGCAAGUGGAAUUCCGGGUGUAGCGGUGAAAUGCGUAGAUAUCCGGAGGAACAUCAGUGGCGAAGGCGACUUGCUGGACUAAUACUGACGCUGAGGAGCGAAAGCGUGGGGAGCAAACGGGAUUAGAAACCCCGGUAGUCC
rnacentral:rRNA from 1 species